AAAAGCAUUUUAGAGGAAAUGCGAGCAGAUUAUGAUCUUACUCAUGCUGCUGCUAAUUAGUAUCAUCAACGUCAUCACUUUGACGAGGAGGAUGACUUUUUGGGAAUGGAAGAUAUGUCCGUUGACACCCGUUUUCAGCGUGCUUUCAUUCAACUACUUUACAAUGCUCAAUUUGAAGAGCUGUCAGCUGCUGAUUUAAUGUUAACGUCAGCAUUAAAUACUGAUUAUCUCCUCACUCUGCCCGUCUACGUUGAUUGGAAGAAAGCGUCCGAGUCUAAAGCAAUCAUUUUCAGGAGGGGAUACGCCACAGAGAGAUAGAAGGGUCUACUAAUUGUCGAAAAACUGGAUUACUUGCAGUCCAAGCUUCUGCAAGCACUUUUCUCCAGUAUCUCUGAGCCGUUAGGGAGAUGGUUUGCUGAGGCGUUAGAACGUACCAUUGAAGGACAAGAAGAUGCUGCUGAGGUAUGGAUGAAAUGGAUCAAGGAAUUCCCUGUUUUCAGGAAAUCUGACAUGCUUGAACAACCUCUGAGUAGUGAUGAUAUGUUCAGUGUUAAUCAACUAUUAGAUGAAGAUCUUCCCAUAUGGCUUGCUGCGCAGAGGGCUGUAGCUCGUUAUGAAGGGAUUUUGUCAUUAGCCGGACCCCGUGGCAUGCUUCUAAGGAAGUUGCUGACGUGGACAGGUCUUGUACCCUCCAUGCCACAAAAGAUAUACAACCUUGAAGAAGAUAUCACUGCAUCUGAACCCUAUUUAAGGUUACUCUCACUUCCUUUGUUGUUUUGGUUUUAAUGCUGCCUUGAAAAGAUAGUAACAUGAUUUUUGAUAUGCAGCAUCAAGCUGUUUUGAGGGUGUUUGGGAUUUCUUAUACCUG